rnacentral:lncRNA from 1 species
GUCUAAGUACACUAAGUACAGCACAAACAACAUUUUCCUAAAGACUAAAAGAGUGAAAAAAUAUAUUUGAACAAAACGCAUUUGACGAUUGCCAAAUAAAUUGAUUUUCAACUGAUUUUUAUAGUUCGUUAUUAUGUUGUACUGUUACACCACUGUCCCAGGUUAGGGGAGGGUUGGGAUACCGCUAAAAUGUUUAACCCCGCCACAUUAUGUGUGUAUGUGUCUGUCAAAAUAUAAAAUGAAUCAG